AGGGGUCUCUGUGGAAACCAUGGCCGGUAGCAGCCUCUGUGCCUGUCUUCUGGGCUCAAGAGUCGUCCUAUAAACCUCAGCUCGGUGUGGGCAGACAAUGAAAACAAGAAACCCACUGCAAUCCCCAAGAAACCCAGUGCUGGGGAUGACUUUGACUUAGGAGAUGCUGUUGUUGAUGGAGAAAAUGAUGACCCACGACCACCGAACCCACCCAAACCGAUGCCAAAUCCAAACCCCAACCACCCUAGUUCCUCCGGUAGCUUUUCAGAUGCUGACCUUGCGGAUGGCAUUUCAGGUGGAGAAGGAAAAGGAGGCAGUGAUGGUGGAGGCAGCCACAGGAAAGAAGGGGAAGAGGCCGACGCCCCAGGCGUGAUCCCCGGGAUUGUGGGGGCUGUCGUGGUCGCCGUGGCUGGAGCCAUCUCUAGCUUCAUUGCUUACCAGAAAAAGAAGCUAUGCUUC
rnacentral:sRNA from 1 species